rnacentral:misc_RNA from 1 species
GUUGAACUGAGAAAAUUUCCUUUUUAUUUUUUUAUUUUUUUUAGGAAGUACUAAACAAGGAGGAAGGAGAAAGAAAGGAAGGGAAGGGAAGGGAAGGUGAGAUCAAGGGAGUGUGGGUCAGAAUUCAGAAACAGCUACACGUUGUGAAGAGGAGGCAAUUGCAUGUGCCCACAUGGCCUAUCGCAGCUGGAGAGAUGAACAACUCCACACUCACCCUCCUUAAAUACGCAAUUAACCAUCUUUCCAGCUUUUACAUUUCCCUGCAUCUUCUUUCUUUUUCUUUCUGUCGGCUUUUCUGCUCGUACGACAUCUGAAUACUGAAUAUUAGCAUCACCAAGCACUCCCUCUCUAUACCCACAAAUCAUUUUUGCAAUAAUGAAGGAAAACAGUGAUGGGUUUGUUAGGGCGGAUCAGAUUGAUCUCAAAAGUCUUGAUGAGCAACUCGAGAGGCAUCUCAAUAAGGUACGGGCCAUGGACAAGAAUAAGAAACCCGAUGAUGGUCAUCUCUCAUCAGUGGCUGCUGCUGCUACCGCCGG